UUUAGAGUUUGAUCCUUGCUCAGGACGAACGCUGGCGGCGUGCUUAACACAUGCAAGUCGAACGGAAAGGCCCUGCUUGCAGGGUACUCGAGUGGCGAACGGGUGAGUAACACGUGGGUGAUCUGCCCUGCACUUCGGGAUAAGCCUGGGAAACUGGGUCUAAUACCGGAUAGGAGCCAUUUUUAGUGUGAUGGUUGGAAAGUUUUUUCGGUGUAGGAUGAGCUCGCGGCCUAUCAGCUUGUUGGUGGGGUAAUGGCCUACCAAGGCGGCGACGGGUAGCCGGCCUGAGAGGGUGGACGGCCACAUUGGGACUGAGAUACGGCCCAGACUCCUACGGGAGGCAGCAGUGGGGAAUAUUGCACAAUGGGCGCAAGCCUGAUGCAGCGACGCCGCGUGGGGGAUGACGGCCUUCGGGUUGUAAACUCCUUUCGCUAGGGACGAAGCUUUUUGUC
rnacentral:rRNA from 1 species